UACGUAGGGUCCGAGCGUUGUCCGGAAUUACUGGGCGUAAAGAGCUCGUAGGUGGUUUGUCACGUUGUUCGUGAAAACCCACAACUCAAUUGUGGGCGUGCGGGCGAUACGGGCGGACUAGAGUACUGCAGGGGAGACUGGGAAUUCCUGGUGUAGCGGUGGAAUGCGCAGAUAGUCAGGAGGAACACCGGUGGCGAAGGCGGGGUCUCUG
rnacentral:rRNA from 1 species